rnacentral:rRNA from 1 species
GACUAAGCGUACACGGUGGAUGCCCUGGCAGUCAGAGGCGAUGAAGGACGUGCUAAUCUGCGAUAAGCGUCGGUAAGGUGAUAUGAACCGUUAUAACCGGCGAUUUCCGAAUGGGGAAACCCAGUGUGUUUCGACACACUAUCAUUAACUGAAUCCAUAGGUUAAUGAGGCGAACCGGGGGAACUGAAACAUCUAAGUACCCCGAGGAAAAGAAAUCAACCGAGAUUCCCCCAGUAGCGGCGAGCGAACGGGGAGCAGCCCAGAGCCUGAAUCAGUAUGUGUGUUAGUGGAAGCGUCUGGAAAGGCGCGCGAUACAGGGUGACAGCCCCGUACACAAAAAUGCACAUGCUGUGAGCUCGAUGAGUAGGGCGGGACACGUGGUAUCCUGUCUGAAUAUGGGGGGACCAUCCUCCAAGGCUAAAUACUCCUGACUGACCGAUAGUGAACCAGUACCGUGAGGGAAAGGCGAAAAGAACCCCGGCGAGGGGAGUGAAAAAGAACCUGAAACCGUGUACGUACAAGCAGUGGGAGCACGCUUAGGCGUGUGACUGCGUACCUUUUGUAUAAUGGGUCAGCGACUUAUAUUCUGUAGCAAGGUUAACCGAAUAGGGGAGCCGAAGGGAAACCGAGUCUUAACUGGGCGUUAAGUUGCAGGGUAUAGACCCGAAACCCGGUGAUCUAGCCAUGGGCAGGUUGAAGGUUGGGUAACACUAACUGGAGGACCGAACCGACUAAUGUUGAAAAAUUAGCGGAUGACUUGUGGCUGGGGGUGAAAGGCCAAUCAAACCGGGAGAUAGCUGGUUCUCCCCGAAAGCUAUUUAGGUAGCGCCUCGUGAAUUCAUCUCCGGGGGUAGAGCACUGUUUCGGCAAGGGGGUCAUCCCGACUUACCAACCCGAUGCAAACUGCGAAUACCGGAGAAUGUUAUCACGGGAGACACACGGCGGGUGCUAACGUCCGUCGUGAAGAGGGAAACAACCCAGACCGCCAGCUAAGGUCCCAAAGUCAUGGUUAAGUGGGAAACGAUGUGGGAAGGCCCAGACAGCCAGGAUGUUGGCUUAGAAGCAGCCAUCAUUUAAAGAAAGCGUAAUAGCUCACUGGUCGAGUCGGCCUGCGCGGAAGAUGUAACGGGGCUAAACCAUGCAC